rnacentral:rRNA from 1 species
UACGGAGGGUGCGAGCGUUGUCCGGAAUCACUGGGCGUAAAGGGCGCGUAGGCGGCCCGGCAAGUCAACGGUGAAAGCUCGGGGCUCAACCCCGAGUCGGCCCGUGCGAACUGGGCUCACUGGAGCAUAGUAGAGGCAGGUGGAAUUCCGGGGUGUAGCGGUGGAAUGCGUAGAGAUCCGGAAGAACACCAGUGGCGAAGGCGGCCCGCUGGGGCAUGGCUGACGUG